AACGAACGCUGGCGGCAGGCUUAACACAUGCAAGUCGAGCGCAUCCUUCGGGGUGAGCGGCGGACGGGUGAGUAACGCGUGGGAACGUGCCCUCUUCUACGGAAUAGCCUCGGGAAACUGAGAGUAAUGCCGUAUACGCCCGCAAGGGGAAAGAUUUAUCGGAGGAGGAUCGGCCCGCGUUGGAUUAGGUAGUUGGUGGGGUAACGGCCUACCAAGCCGACGAUCCAUAGCUGGUUUGAGAGGAUGAUCAGCCACACUGGGACUGAGACACGGCCCAGACUCCUACGGGAGGCAGCAGUGGGGAAUCUUGGACAAUGGGGGCAACCCUGAUCCAGCCAUGCCGCGUGAUCGAUGAAGGCCUUAGGGUUGUAAAGAUCUUUCAGCUGGCAAGAUAAUGACGGUACCAGCAGAAGAAGCCCCGGCUAACUCCGUG
rnacentral:rRNA from 1 species